rnacentral:rRNA from 1 species
CAUGCAAGUCGGACGGUAGCACAGAGGAGCUUGCUCCUUGGGAUGACGAGUGGCGGACGGGUGAGUAAUGUCUGGGAAACUGCCCGAUGGAGGGGGAUAACUACUGGAAACGGUAGCUAAUACCGCAUAACGUCGCAAGACCAAAGUGGGGGACCUUCGGGCCUCACACCAUCGGAUGUGCCCAGAUGGGAUUAGCUAGUAGGUGGGGUAAUGGCUCACCUAGGCGACGAUCCCUAGCUGGUCUGAGAGGAUGACCAGCCACACUGGAACUGAGACACGGUCCAGACUCCUACGGGAGGCAGCAGUGGGGAAUAUUGCACAAUGGGCGCAAGCCUGAUGCAGCCAUGCCGCGUGUAUGAAGAAGGCCUUCGGGUUGUAAAGUACUUUCAGCGGGGAGGAAGGCGGUGAGGUUAAUAACCUCACCGAUUGACGUUACCCGCAGAAGAAGCACCGGCUAACUCCGUGCCAGCAGCCGCGGUAAUACGGAGGGUGCAAGCGUUAAUCGGAAUUACUGGGCGUAAAGCGCACGCAGGCGGUCUGUCAAGUCGGAUGUGAAAUCCCCGGGCUUAACCUGGGAACUGCAUUCGAAACUGGCAGGCUAGAGUCUCGUAGAGGGGGGUAGAAUUCCAGGUGUAGCGGUGAAAUGCGUAGAGAUCUGGAGGAAUACCCGGUGGCGAAGGCGGCCCCCUGGAACGAAGACUACGCUCAGUCAAGCG